rnacentral:rRNA from 1 species
AGAGUUGUAUCCUGGCUCAGAACGAACGCUGGCGGCAUGCCUAACACAUGCAAGUCGAACGAUCCUUCGGGAUAGUGGCGGACGGGUGAGUAACGCGUAGGUAUCUGCCUUGGAGUGGGGAACAACAGCUGGAAACGGCUGCUAAUACCGCAUACGCCCGGUAACGGGGAAAGCUUUAUGUGCUCUAAGAGGAACCUGCGUCCGAUUAGCUAGUUGGAGGGGUAACGGCCCACCAAGGCGACUAUCGGUAGCUGGUCUGAGAGGAUGAUCAGCCACACUGGGACUGAGACACGGCCCAGACUCCUACGGGAGGCAGCAGUGGGGAAUAUUGGACAAUGGGGGCAACCCUGAUCCAGCAAUGCCGCGUGCGUGAAGAAGGCCUUAGGGUUGUAAAGCGCUUUCGCCCGCGACGAUGAUGACGGUAGCGGGAGAAGAAGCCCCGGCUAACUCCGUGCCAGCAGCCGCGGUAAUACGGAGGGGGCGAGCGUUGUUCGGAAUUACUGGGCGUAAAGGGCGCGUAGGCGGCCUUGUCAGUCAGGCGUGAAAGCCCCGGGCUCAACCUGGGAUGUGCGCUUGAUACUGCGAGGCUUGAGACCGGAAGAGGAUGGCGGAAUACCCAGUGU